AUGAACGCUGGCGGCGUGCCUAAUCCAUGCAAGUCGAGCGAACAGACGAGGAGCUUGCUCCUCUGACGUUAGCGGCGGACGGGUGAGUAACACGUGGAUAACCUACCUAUAAGACUGGGAUAACUUCGGGAAACCGGAGCUAAUACCGGAUAAUAUAUUGAACCGCAUGGUUCAAUAGUGAAAGACGGUUUUGCUGUCACUUAUAGAUGGAUCCGCGCCGCAUUAGCUAGUUGGUAAGGUAACGGCUUACCAAGGCAACGAUGCGUAGCCGACCUGAGAGGGUGAUCGGCCACACUGGAACUGAGACACGGUCCAGACUCCUACGGGAGGCAGCAGUAGGGAAUCUUCCGCAAUGGGCGAAAGCCUGACGGAGCAACGCCGCGUGAGUGAUGAAGGUCUUCGGAUCGUAAAACUCUGUUAUUAGGGAAGAACAAAUGUGUAAGUAACUAUGCACGUCUUGACGGUACCUAAUCAGAAAGCCACGGCUAACUACGUG
rnacentral:rRNA from 1 species